AUCUCCAGUACCGUUCUGGAUCUCUGUUAUUCCAUAUUUAACAGCAUGCAUACAAAUGAGGAAUCACAGAUUGCUGCAGCAGAAUUUACAAAGAAGGAUAGUCAUGGGACUCUGGGACGGCCCUUUUUCCUUUUCAGGCCUCGAAAUGGAAGAACUAUCGAGGGCAGUGAAUACCAUGGAGUAUGAAGUUUGUGGAUCCAUUUACCAGACUGAUGACUUGCUUUAUACAAAGAAAAUAAACUUUCUCUUGAACAGUUUGCCUAUUAUGUGACUCAGUU